UAAAUUCUGAAAUAUUUGUGAAGCUCUUAUUUUGAACCUACAGCAUUGAGCCGGGAGUUCAAAAUAUAGAUGUGGAUUUGACUUAUAAGACCUAUUGUAUGAUAUUCAUCUAGGCAAGGUCUUCGAAGCAGUAUUGAGGACACCCACCUAUCUGAGAGAUAGGUGUCAAAAUUAGAGCAACGGUAUUUUGGAUUAUAG
rnacentral:other from 1 species